rnacentral:rRNA from 1 species
AUGCACGCUGGCGGCGUGCUUAACACAUGCAAGUCGCACGGAAAGGCUCCUGCUUGCAGGGGUACUCGAGUGGCGAACGGGUGAGUAACACGUGGGUGAUCUGCCCUGCACUUCGGGAUAAGCCUGGGAAACUGGGUCUAAUACCGGAUAGGACGAUGGUUUGGAUGCCAUUGUGGAAAGUUUUUCGGUGUGGGAUGAGCUCGCGGCCUAUCAGCUUGUUGGUGGGGUAAUGGCCUACCAAGGCGUCGACGGGUAGCCGGCCUGAGAGGGUGUACGGCCACAUUGGGACUGAGAUACGGCCCAGACUCCUACGGGAGGCAGCAGUGGGGAAUAUUGCACAAUGGGCGCAAGCCUGAUGCAGCGACGCCGCGUGGGGGAUGACGGCCUUCGGGUUGUAAACUCCUUUCGCUAGGGACGAAGCGCAAGUGACGGUACCUGGAGAAGAAGCACCGGCUAACUACGUG